rnacentral:rRNA from 1 species
UACAGAGGUGGCAAGCGUUGUUCGGAAUUACUGGGCGUAAAGGGCGCGUAGGCGGCCUUCUAAGUCAGACGUGAAAUCCCCCGGCUUAACCUGGGAACUGCGUCUGAUACUGGAGGGCUUGAGUAUGGGAGAGGGAUGUAGAAUUCCAGGUGUAGCGGUGAAAUGCGUAGAUAUCUGGAGGAAUACCGGUGGCGAAGGCGGCAUCCUGGACCAUUACUGACGCUGAGGCGCGAAAGCUAGGGAGCAAACGGG